AUUGAACGCUGGCGGCAGGCCUAACACAUGCAAGUCGAACGGUAGCACAGAGAGCUUGCUCUCGGGUGACGAGUGGCGGACGGGUGAGUAACGUCUGGGAAACUGCCCGAUGGAGGGGGAUAACUACUGGAAACGGUAGCUAAUACCGCAUAACGUCGCAAGACCAAAGUGGGGGACCUUCGGGCCUCACGCCAUCGGAUGUGCCCAGAUGGGAUUAGCUAGUAGGUGGGGUAAUGGCCCACCUAGGCGACGAUCCUUAGCUGGUCUGAGAGGAUGACCAGCCACACUGGAACUGAGACACGGUCCAGACUCCUACGGGAGGCAGCAGUGGGGAAUAUUGCACAAUGGGCGCAAGCCUGAUGCAGCCAUGCCGCGUGUAUGAAGAAGGCCUUCGGGUUGUAAAGUACUUUCAGCGGGGAGGAAGGCGGUGAAGUUAAUAGCUUCACCGAUUGACGUUACCCGCAGAAGAAGCACCGGCUAACUCCGUGCCAGCCGCCGCCGUAA
rnacentral:rRNA from 1 species